rnacentral:rRNA from 1 species
UAGGGAAUCUUCGGCAAUGGGGGGAACCCUGACCGAGCAACGCCGCGUGAGUGAAGAAGGUUUUCGGAUCGUAAAGCUCUGUUGUAAGAGAAGAACGGGUGUGAGAGUGGAAAGUUCACACUGUGACGGUAUCUUACCAGAAAGGGACGGCUAACUACGUGCCAGCAGCCGCGGUAAUACGUAGGUCCCGAGCGUUGUCCGGGUUUAUUGGGCGUAAAGCGAGCGCAGGCGGUUAGAUAAGUCUGAAGUUAAAGGCUGUGGCUUAACCAUAGUAUGCUUUGGAAACUGUUUAACUUGAGUGCAGAAGGGGAGAGUGGAAUUCCAUGUGUAGCGGUGAAAUGCGUAGAUAUAUGGAGGAACACCGGUGGCGAAAGCGGCUCUCUGGUCUGUAACUGACGCUGAGGCUCGAAAGCGUGGGGAGCAAACA